rnacentral:rRNA from 1 species
UGGGCUUGACAUCCUAGGAAUUCACUGGAAACAGUAAAGUGCCUUCAUUAGAAGGAGCCUAGAGAC